rnacentral:lncRNA from 1 species
CCAAGAUGGCCGAAUAGGAACAGCUCCGGUCUACAGCUCCCAGCGUGAGCGACGCAGAAGACGGGUGAUUUCUGCAUUUCCAUCUGAGGUACCGGGUUCAUCUCACUAGGGAGUGCCAGACAGUGGGCGCACGCAGGAUACUCAAACUUGAAACCAACCUACCUUAUCGUGAGGAAGCCUGGUUCAAAUGGAGAGGCCAAUGUAGGUGUACAACAGACAGUCCCAGCUGAAAGGCCCAGCUUGCACACAACAUCACUGCCAGACGAAUGAGAAGGGCCUUAUGAUGAUUCCAGCAUCAGACAUUUGACUUGGCCCAGCUUUUGCUGAACUGCAUCUUAAAUGGGCUCUUGCUAUAUUUGGCCUGACUGGUCUUGAACUCCUGGACUCAAGUGGAGCUCCUGCCUCGACCUUCUGAAGUACUGGGACUACAAGCAUAAGCCACUGUGCCUAGCUACUUGCUGUGUUUUAAAGGUAUGGAGUACUGGGACUGUAAUUACUUGCAUGGAUUUUGAGGUUUUCUUUAGAAACCAUCAUGUCUUUAUAUUAUUUCUGACUCUUUUGAAUACUAAAGGAAAAAUGACAAGAAUGAUUUUAUUUGUAAUUAAUUUUUAUUUUUAUAUUAACAAGUAUAUAUUUUAAAUGCAAACUUUUGUUUAAAAGCUUAUAACAGAGCAUUAUUUCGGUUCUCCAUUCCCCUCUUUCACACAAGGAAAUUGGAUUCUGCUUUUCAGUCCACUGCUUUCAACCCUUUUAAAAAAUUGUUCAAGAGAGGGGCUGGCUUUUACUUUUCUAUUUAUUUAUAAUUUCAAUGUUCCUAUAGUCAAUCAUUAAUAUUAUUUUGAUAUUAUCUAUUGAUUCUUUGUUAUUAUUACAGUUGUAUAGUCCCACAUAUUAUUUUCGAGAACCCCUAGAUUUAUUUCUAUUCAUUUAAUCUCACUUUUUGUCAAGCCAUCUUUUAAGAGUUUUUCAAGAAGGGUACUAGGGAAUAAAUUUUUGAUAAUUCAUUUUUCUGAAAUUAGCUUUAUUUCUUUCUUUUCCUAGGUUUAAGGUUUCUGUAGUUUUAAGGUUUUAAGAUUAAAAUAAUUUCACCUCAGACUUAUGAAGGCAGCGCUCCAGUCAAACCUGAUUCCCAUACUGCAGUUUCAGAGUGAGAGAGAAGGAAGAAGGAGGAAGGCAGGAAAGAAGGAAGGGAGGGAGGGAGGGAGGGGGGAGGGAUCAAACUUGAUUCUCAAUGUUGUUGAGGAAUUUAACACUGUACUUGAUUCUUUUAUCAUGAUCUUGUUUUUACCCUGGAAAAUUCUGGAAUUGGCUGCUUAUUCUUGGAUAUCUAAACUUUAAAAAUUAUAUUAAAUCCUGCAUUUGUUUUUAUUUUGUAAUAUUUGAACUUGGAAGCCUUUUUCUAUCUUGAGUUUUAUGUCCUCGAGUUCCAGUAAAUAUUUUUGUAAUAUUUUAUUGGAAAUUUCCUCUAACUUUGUGAAUGCUUCCUUAAUUUUCUAAAAUUUCUAUCUUCUCAACUCUUCACUUUAUUAUACUCUUUGGGAGAUAAACUUCAACUUGCAACCUGUCGCUAAUUUUAUCAAAUUUCAGCUUUCAUGAUUUUAAGUGCUGAUUAAUAUUUCUUAUUUUCUAUCAUUUCUUUUUGUAGAAGCUCAUUCUUUUUCACAAUGCAAUAUAUUAUAUUAUCCCUCUGAUAAUUAAACUUUCUUUGAAAUGCUCUCUGCUUAAUGUUUCUCACAGUUUGCACUAACUUCUCCCUUUAUUUAGAGUCUUUCACUUCAAAAUGUCUGAUGACUUUUUAAAAUUAAGUAUCUAGAAAGUUGACAAUUUCUUAAGGGUGAGCAAACCAACCCCAAAGGUAGCAGAAGACAAGAAAUAAUCAAAAUCAGAGCCAAACUAAAAAAAAAAAAAGAGACUCAAAAAACCAUCCAAAAGAUCAAGGAAUCCAGGAGUUCGAUUUUUGAAAAAAUAAAUAAGAUAGGCCACUAGCUACACUAAUAAAGAAGAGAGAAUAUUGAAAUAAAAAAUUAGAAAUGACAAAGGAGAUGUUACCACUGACCCUACAGAAAUACAAAUAAUCCUCAAAGACUACUACAAAUACCUCUGUGCACACAAACUAGAAAACCUAGAAGAGAUGAAUAAAUUCUUAGACAUAUAUACCCUCCCAAGACUGAGCCAGGAAAAAAUUGAUUCCCUGAACAUACCAAUAAUGAGCUUCAAAAUUAAAUCAGUAAAAAAUAGCCUACCAGCCAAAAAAAGCCUGGGACCAGAUGAAUUUACAGCUGAAUUCUACUGGAUGUACAAAGAAGAGCUCGUGCCAUUCUUAUUGAAACUAUUUCAAAACAUUCAGGUGGAGGGAUUCAUCCCCAACUCAUUCUGUGAGGCCAAAAUCAUUUGUAUACCAAAACCUGACAGAGACACAAUAGAAAAAGAAAACUUUGGGCCAAUAACUUUGAUGAACACUGAUGCAAAAUAUCUUCAACAAAAUACUGGCAAACUGAAUACAGCAGCACAUCAAAAAGCUAUCUACCACGAUCACUGGGAUGCAAGGUUGGUUCAACAUAUGCAAAUCAAUAAAUGUGAUUUAUCACAUAAACAGACCUAAAGACAAAAACCACGAUUAUUUCAAUAGAUGUUGAAAAGGCUUUUGAUAACAUUCAACAUCACUUCAUGUUAAAACUCUAAAAAAAAAACCUAGGUAUUGAAGGAAAAUGCCUAAAAAUAAUGAGUCUUCUUAGUAUGACAAACCCACAGCCAAUAUCAUACUGAAUAAGCAAAAGCUAGAAGCAUUCCCCUUGAAAACUGGCAUAAGAUGAGCAUGCCCUCUCUCACCACUCCUAUUCAACAUGGUAUUGGAAAUCCUGGAAAUCCAAAUAGGAAAAGAGGAUGUCAAACUAUCCCUGUUGGUAGAUGACAUGAUUCUAUAUCAAAAAGACCCCAUAGUUUCAGCCCAAAAGAUCCUUCUGCUAAUAAACAACAACUUCAGCUGCUAAUAAAUAACUUCAGGAUACAAAAUCAAUGUACAAAAUAUCACUAACAUUCCUAUAAACCAACAACUGUCAAGCCAAGGGCCAAAUCAGGAGCACAAUUCCAUUCACAAUUUCCACAAAAAAGAAUAAAAUACCUAGGAAUACAGCUAACCAGGGAGGUAAAAUAUCACUACAAUAAUUACAAAACAUUGCUCUAAGAAAUCAGAGAUGACAUAAACCAAUGGAAAAACAUUCCAUGUUCAUAGUUUAGAAGAAUCAGUAUCAUUAAAAUGAUGAUAUGGCCCAAAACAGUUUACAGAUUCAAUAUCAUUCCUAUCAAACUACCAUUGACAUUCUUCACAGAGUUUAAAAAGUCUAUUUUAAAAUUUAUAUGGAACCAAAAAAAGAGCCUGAAUAUUGAAGGAAAUCUGAAGCAAAAAGAACAAAGCUGGAAGCAGCAUGUUACCCAACUUCAAACUAUACUACAGGGCUACAGCAAUGAAAAUAGCAUGGUACUGCUAUAGAACCAGACAGAUAAACCAAUGGAACAGAAUAGAGAGCCCAGAAAUAGGGCUGCACACCUACAACAAUCUGAUUUUUGACAAAGUUGACAAAAACGAGCAAUACAGAAAGAACUUCCUACUCAAUAAAUACUGAAGUAACUGGCUAGCCAUAUGCAGAAGAUUGAAAAUGGACCUCUUCCUUACACCAUAUACAAAAAUCAACUCAAGAUGAAUUAAAGCCUCAAAUGUAAAACCCAAAACUAUAAAUAUCUUGAAAGACAACCUAAGCAAUACCUUUCUGGACAUAGGAACUGGAAAAUAUUUCAUGAUGAAGAUGCCAAAAUUAAUCAUAAGAAAAGCAUAAUUGACUAAUGGGAUCUAAUUAAACUAAAGAGCUUCUGCACAGCAAAAGAAAGUUCAACAGAGUAAACAGACAACCACACAGAAUGGGAGAAAAUAUUUGCAAACUAUGCAUCUGACAAAGGUGUAAUAUCCAGCAUCUAUAGCAAUUAACACAUUUGUAAGACAAAAAAAACAACCUAAUUACAAUUGGGCAAAGGACAUGAACACUUUUCAAAAGAAGACUUACAUGUAUCCAGCAAGCAUAUGGAAAAAAGUUUAAUAUCACUAAUCAUUAGAAAAAUGCAAAUCAAAACCACAAUGAGAUACCAUCUCACACCAGUCAGAAUGGCUAUUAUUAAAAAGUCAAAUAAUAACUAAUCCUAGCAAAGCAAGGCAGUGGAGAAAAGAGAAUGUUUACACUCUCUUGGUGGAAGUGUAAAUUAGUUCAACCAUUGUGGAAAGUAGUGCAGUGAUUCCUCAAAGAGCUGAAAACAGAACUACCAUUUGACCCAGUAAUCCCUUUAAUGGGUAUAUACCUAAAGGAAAUACAUUGUUUUACCAUAAAGACACAGCAGGCAAAUGUUCAUUGCAACACUAUUCACAAUAGCCAAGACAUGAAAUCAACCUAAAUGCCCAUCAAAGACAGAUUGGGUAAAGAAAAUGUGGUACAUACACACCAUGGAAUACUAUGCAGCCAUAAAAAAGAAUGAGAUCUUAUUCUUUGCAAGAACAUGGAUGGAGGCCAUCAAACUUAGCAAACUAAUGCAGGAACAGCAAAUCAAAUGCCACAUAUUCUCAUCUAUGAGUAGGAGCUAAAUGAUGAAGUCACGGACACAAAGAGGGAAACAGUAGACACUGGGGCCUACCUGAGGGAGAAGGGCAUGAGAAGGGAGAGGAUCAGAAAAAAUAAUUACUGGGUACUGGGAUUAGCACAUGGGUGAUGAAAUAAUCUGUACAACAAACUGUGACACAAAUUUAUCUAUGUAACAAACCUGCACAUGUUCCCCUGAACCUAAAAUAAAAGUUUAAAAGAUAAUAAUAAUAAUAAAUUUUUUUAAUUACUAAAAAAGUUUUUUAAAAAGGAGAAACAUUUCUUAAGGGUGGAUGGACCUGGUUUGUCAAGUGGCAAGAUAAUUUGUACUUUCUGUUUUGUAGUUGGUGCUCUUCUUCACAAAUUGUUAGUUUCUGGCAGUUAUUCUCUAA